rnacentral:rRNA from 1 species
UACGUAGGUGGCAAGCGUUGUCCGGAUUUACUGGGCGUAAAGCGCGCGCAGGCGGACUGAUCAGUCUGGGGUGAAAUCUCCCGGCUCAACUGGGAGCGGUCCCUGGAUACUGUCAGUCUUGAGAGACCUAGAGGAGAGCGGAAUUCCCGGUGUAGUGGUGGAAUGCGUAGAUAUCGGGAAGAACACCAGUGGCGAAGGCGGCUCACUGGCUCAUUACUGACGCUCAGGCGCGAUAGCGUGGGAUCAAACAGG